rnacentral:rRNA from 1 species
CACGUAGGGCGCAAGCGUUGUCCGGAAUUAUUGGGCGUAAAGAGCUCGUAGGCGGACUGUCACGUCUGCUGUGAAAAGCUGGGGCUUAACCCUGGCCUUGCAGUGGAUACGGGCAGACUAGAGGUAGGUAGGGGAGAAUGGAAUUCCGGUGUAGCGGUGAAAUGCGCAGAUAUCGGGAGGAACACCGGUGGCGAAGGCGGUUCUCUGGAACGCAACUGACGGCUGAGACGCGAAAGCGUGGGG